GGGGGCGAUCUGGCUUCGACGCGGAUCGCGAAACCUACAGGUGCAUGCCGAGGUGCAGUGACCUCGAAAAACACAUUGCAAACUUAUAGUUGCCAACGACGACAACUACGCACUCGCUGCUUAAAACCCAGUAGGGUGCCAUCUGACCGGAGCCGUGCUUGUGCGUCCGGAUUUCAGGUGUCAUAUCUCACAAGCUUGCGGUGAAGCGUGUCCGGCGUGGAUCCGUUAAACACUUAUCCGGACUCGCCGUUUGUUUUCCCCGCCGUUCGGGUAGCAAACGGUUAAAUCAAUAGAACGGAUAAGCAUGUAGAGCCUGAGGCGGAGGAUUCGCGGACGGGGGUUCGAUUCCCCCCGCCUCCACCA
rnacentral:tmRNA from 2 species